AGAGUUUGAUCAUGGCUCAGGACGAACGCUGGCGGCGUGCUUAACACAUGCAAGUCGAGCGGAAAGGCCCUUCGGGGUACUCGAGCGGCGAACGGGUGAGUAACACGUGAGUAAUCUGCCCCUAGCUCUGGGAUAGCUCCGGGAAACCGGGAUUAAUACCGGAUACGACCACCUUAGACAUCUUUUGUGGUGGAAAGAAUUUCGGCUAGGGAUGAGCUCGCGGCCUAUCAGCUUGUUGGUGGGGUAACGGCCUACCAAGGCGACGACGGGUAGCCGGCCUGAGAGGGCGACCGGCCACACUGGGACUGAGACACGGCCCAGACUCCUACGGGAGGCAGCAGUGGGGAAUAUUGCGCAAUGGGCGAAAGCCUGACGCAGCGACGCCGCGUGGGGGAUGAAGGCCUUCGGGUUGUAAACCCCUUUCAGCAGGGACGAAGCGAAAGUGACGGUACCUGCAGAAGAAGCGCCGGCUAACUACGUGCCAGCAGCCGCGGUAACACGUAGGGCGCAAGCGUUGUCCGGAAUUAUUGGGCGUAAAGAGCUCGUAGGCGGUCUGUUGCGUCCGCUGUGAAAACUCGGGGCUUAACCCCGAGCCUGCAGUGGAUACGGGCAGACUAGAGGUAGGUAGGGGGAGAAUGGAAUUCCCGGUGUAGCGGUGAAAUGCGCAGAUAUCGGGAGGAACACCGGUGGCGAAGGCGGUUCUCUGGGCCUUACCUGACGCUGAGGAGCGAAAGCGUGGGGAGCGAACAGGAUUAGAUACCCUAGUAGUCC
rnacentral:rRNA from 1 species